CCCAGUUUCGCCCUUCCCACCUCACCUGAUCUGGUUUCUCGGCUUUUGUGAUGGCUCUGCAAGUCAAGAACAAUCCACAUCUAGGAUCUGCUAACUUGGCUCAGGGAUGGGGCACAAGAAAUUAGACUAAGCCCAGACCCAGACUUGCCACUCAGCCUUGCUCAUCAACGCUACCAACUGGGAACUGGCCAAACCAAGCACCAUGUACCCCAGAAACACACAGGCAAGGAGGUAGCUGGAGAACCUUCUAGGUGGCCAUGCUGCUGAGAUGCCAAAGCUUGUUCUCCUGUGUGGGAAAUGUCUGCGAGUGUGAUAUAGAGGUACUGAAGGUCUUUUCUACAUGUUCUGUGUAUUUCAUGAACAGCAAACAUACUUCAGGUGGACUAAAAUCACACUGUGCUUGUGUAGCUCACAGAAGAGUCACCUCAGAACUUUGCCGGGGAUGGAGCAUAGGAUGCUGACGGCAGUGAACUUCCUCAGUCCUCCCCUCCUCUGUGCUCCUUCCACUUCCGCUUUCCGUUUCCUCUUUCUCCCUUUCUUCUUUCUUUCUCUUCUUUUUCCCCUCCUUGCUCUCCCUUUUCUCCUUGCCCUGCUUGUUUUUCUCCCUCAUCAACCAAAGAAGCGUUGAACAAAACAUCUGGGCACAAAUUUGACAUCACCAGAAAAGCUCGAACUGUUGAAACACCAUGUAUAUGCCCCAGUCCCUUCUGAAUUUAAUAUAGACCUUAUUUAUUUUGUAUAUAACUUUAAUGUGUGUAUUAUCAAGUUUUAUUUUGUCCUGUUAUCAUUACAUUGUGUAGGUAUUUUCAUAUUUCUAGAUCACGCUCAUAAUUGUAAUUCCCCAUGUAUAAUAGUAAAACAGUAUAACAGUCCAUUGUCUGGACACACCAGCGUGCUGAGCC